rnacentral:rRNA from 1 species
GAGGCCUACCAUGGUGGUAACGGGUAACGGGGUGUUAGGGCACGACACCGGAGAGGGAGCCUGAGAAACGGCUACCACAUCCAAGGAAUGGCAGCAGGCGCGCAAAUUACCCAAUCCCGACACGGGGAGGUAGUGACAAUAAAUAACAAUACGGGGUUCUUUMGGAUCUCGUAAUUGGAAUGAGUACAAUUUAAAUCUCUUAACGAGGAACAAUUGGAGGGCAAGUCUGGUGCCAGCAGCCGCGGUAAUUCCAGCUCCAAUAGCGUAUAUUAAAGUUGUUGCAGUUAAAAAGCUCGUAGUUGAAUUUCGGGAUCRAWUUGUUGGUCGUGCYUCGGUACGYACUGGCAUUAUUGGUUYCUACCUUCUGAAGAACCDYGAUGUCAUUAAUUUGGUGUCRUGGGGAAAUCAGGACUGUUACUUUGAAAAAAUUAGAGUGUUUAAAGCAGGCWYACGCUUGAAUACAUUAGCAUGGAAUAAUGAAAUAGGACGUUUGAUUCUAUUUUGUUGGUUUCUAGGAUCGACGUAAUGAUUAAUAGGGAUAGUUGGGGGCAUUAGUAUUCAAUUGUCAGAGGUGAAAUUCUUGGAUUUAUUGAAGACUAACUACUGCGAAAGCAUUUGCCAAGGAUGUUUUCAUUAAUCAAGAACGAAAGUUAGGGGAUCGAAGACGAUCAGAUACCGUCGUAGUCUUAACCAUAAACUAUGCCGACUAGGGAUCGGAUGAUGUUAAUUUUUUAAUGACUCAUUCGGCGCCUUA